rnacentral:rRNA from 1 species
AGCGAACGCUGGCGGCAGGCUUAACACAUGCAAGUCGAACGCCCCGCAAGGGGAGUGGCAGACGGGUGAGUAACACGUGGGAACGUACCCUUUGGUUCGGAAUAACUUGGGGAAACUCAAGCUAAUACCGGAUAAGCCCUUAUGGGGAAAGGUUUACUGUCGAAGGAUCGGCCCGCGUCUGAUUAGCUAGUUGGUGAGGUAAUGGCUCACCAAGGCGACGAUCAGUAGCUGGUCUGAGAGGAUGAUCAGCCACACUGGGACUGAGACACGGCCCAGACUCCUACGUGAGGCAGCAGUGGGGAAUAUUGGACGAUGGGGGCAACCCUGAUCCAGCCAUGCCGCGUGAGUGAUGAAGGCCUUAGGGUUGUAAAGCUCUUUUACCAGGGACGAUAAUGACUGUACCGGGAGAAUAAGCCCCGGCUAACUUCGUGCCAGCCGCCGCCGUAA